AUCGCUUCUCGGCCUUAUGGCUAGGAUCAAGUGUCGUAUCUGUUCUUAUCAGCUUGCUAUCUGCUACGUUCUCUAUCUGAGGACAAUAUAUUGAGUGCAUUUUUGCGAGCAGGGGUUUUAGCUUGCUCUGUCCACUCCACACACCAACCUGGCAUCGCAGUACUUCCAGGAAUGGUGCAAUCCCU